rnacentral:tRNA from 3 species
GGGCCGUUAGCUCAGUCGGUUAGAGCAGAGGACUCAUAAUCCUUGGGUCGCGGGUUCGAGCCCCGCACGGCCUACCA